UUGGUUUAAAUUAUUGUGGGUCUACACUUUGAAAAUAGAACUCAUACGAAGUGGUAGGACAUACAUUGAUUUCACACAA
rnacentral:pre_miRNA from 1 species